ensembl:lncRNA
CUUGUUUUUAACCUUGAGUCACUUAAAAUUUUCAUCUUUUCUUCAGUAGAUUCAGUAGAUUUUUCCAUAUGAGUGAAAGGCUGUUAGUCCACUGUUUACCUCAGCUGUCAAUGCUGGGUGAGAAUCGUCCGCCUCUAUUUUAUUCUGGAGGAGGCUAUAAAACUUUGUAAAAGAAGUCCAAAACAGGUCGAUGAGUCAGUGAAUUUCACUUGUGUGUGAUGUCACUGAUACUGAGGUGAGCUGUUGAGGAUAUCCUGAAUGUUCCUGUUGGUAAGUCCUGCUCUUUUUGCCUCUGUUAGCUGCUGUUAGCCGGGGUUAGUGAAACUGUUUUUUAAGUGGAUGCAGCUGUGUUCAACAUUUAGUGAAUAAAGUCUCAUACGCUGUGAGAAUGCAGUCAAAGUGUUCAUCAGUGUAUGAGAUGUAAUAUUUUUUUUUGUUUUUAUUUUACGACAUUCAAACCUAACAUUAGCUGGCAUAAUGGUAAAUGGUAAAUGGCCUGCAUUUGUAUAGCGCUUUUCUAGUCCCUAAGGACCCCAAAGUGCUUUACACUACAUUCAGUCAUUCACCCAUUCACACACACAUUCACACACUGGCGAUGCCAAGCUACAUUGUAGCCACAGCUGCCCUGGGGCAGACUGACAGAGGCGAGGCUGCCGGACACUGGUGCCACCGGGCCUUCUGACCACCACCAGUUAAUCAACAAGAGUUGGUUAACUUAUAACCAACUCUUGUUGAUUAGCCAACUCUUUGUCAGCUAUCCAAGGGCAGGAGGAUCGCAUAUCUAAUCUGCUGAUGAGUAAUUGUGAUAAUAUCUGAAAUAAAAAAAGCAUUUUUUUUUUUUGCAAAUUUUUGUGUGUUAGACCCCAAACUUCAGUUCAGCUUGAGGUGAGGAGGAAUAGACAUUUAUUAAGCAUUUCCCUUCCUGGGUGAAGGCGACCCCUUUUCAGAUUAUAAAACAUAUUUAAAUGUUCCUCUACGGCAAUGCAAAUUCUCAGCACUUCUCCUCUGGUCUCUAUAGUAUCUAGAUGAAAUUUAUCGUCUGACCAUCGUCAUAAUGGCCACAAACUAAAUUUCCCAAUUGAAAAAAGAGUUGUUAUAUAUUAUACAUGUUGCUUGAGCUUUAGC